CCAUAGAGAGAGAAGUGUUUAUCCGAAAGUCCAUAAUACUGUCUUUCUUCCCAGUACACUUUCAAGUCAGCUUUCAAGUCUUAAGUUGUUUGUGGAUUCUGAUGGCCAACAAGAGGGUUGUUUCUGGUCCCCUAACCCACUCCCUUUCUUUACCUUGCUCUGCAAUCUCAAUCUCCCGGCGUCCAAAUUCUGCCUGCUUGAUGUUCUUCACACAGAAAUUGCUGCUGCCCUUGGAGUUGGUUUGCUGCUUCUCUCGGGGAGAAACCUCAUCAUCAGAGCUAUCUGUGUAGGAUGCAGCUAGAGCCAGGAAAGAAAAAAACAAGGAUAGAAAAACCUCAGUGGUCCCCAACUCUACAGAGUGCAGUCCCCAAGGGACUUGGCACCUAAGCAUUAGUAGUUCCAACAAGUUACCAGGUGUUGCUGAUGCUGCUAGUCAGAGGAUCACACUUUGAGAACCAUGGAUAUAGACAAAAGUGAUAAGAUAGUCUUACAAGGGAUUUUACACUAAGUUGUGCUCAAGGAAUAGAGAAAGAAAGAAAUGGCACAAAAGGCAAACAGCUCUGGUUCUACUGAUAGCCCUGGGAAAGUCUGUCAAAAUGAUCAACUUUAAAAAGUGGUUUCACAUAAAAGCUAAAAAUACCACUUAUCUGACAGAUAUGCAAGAGGAUAUACAACAAUCAUUCCUUACCUCUCAAAUCACUUCUUUCCUCUCUGAAUUGAGUACUUUCCUCAUCACGGUUUCUGCUAG
rnacentral:lncRNA from 1 species